rnacentral:rRNA from 1 species
CGGCGGACGGGUGAGUAACACGUAGGCAACCUGCCCACAAGACAGGGAUAACUACCGGAAACGGUAGCUAAUACCCGAUACAUCCUUUUCCUGCAUGGGAGAAGGAGGAAAGACGGAGCAAUCUGUCACUUGUGGAUGGGCCUGCGGCGCAUUAGCUAGUUGGUGGGGUAAAGGCCUACCAAGGCGACGAUGCGUAGCCGACCUGAGAGGGUGAUCGGCCACACUGGGACUGAGACACGGCCCAGACUCCUACGGGAGGCAGCAGUAGGGAAUCUUCCGCAAUGGGCGAAAGCCUGACGGAGCAACGCCGCGUGAGUGAUGAAGGUUUUCGGAUCGUAAAGCUCUGUUGCCAGGGAAGAACGUCUUGUAGAGUAACUGCUACAAGAGUGACGGUACCUG